CUUUCUGUCGAAAAUAGAAGAUCUCAGAGUUGAACCUGAUGAAAUCAUGAUUUCCUUUGACGUCGUUUCCUUAUUCACUUCUAUUCCUCUUGACACAGCAAGACAAAUAACCAGAAAACUACUUACUAACAAUACCCCAUGGCAAUCACACGCACAACUUAAUAUACAAGACAUUCUCGAUUUACUUGACCUGUCUUUCAACUAAAUUCUGCUUUCAAAACAAUUACUACAGACAAAUCUCCGGCCCUCCAAUGGGGUCACCUCUUUCCAGUUUCCUUGCUGAAGCAGUGAUGCAAGACCUGGACAAUAAAGCUGUGACAAAUAACAAUGACAUCAAAACAUUGGACAGGU